CUUAAAGCAGAAGUGCUAAGAAAAGUUAACUUGACAAAGAUCACACAGUUAGGAAGUAAAAAGCCAGAGUUUUGACGCUCUGGUGACCUAUGUUCAUUCCACAUCAUGCAGCCUUAUGGAUGCUCUAAGGCUGACCUGAUCAGAAAGAGGAGACAAGCGAGAUCAUGGACCAAACUGCUGGGGACGGAAGUAUCUGGGAAUGUCAUCUCAAUUCCAGUUUGGGAUUUUCUGGUCAGCACCAAUGAAGUAAUCUGCCAAGUAGACCCUUUUUCAUUCCCCAGAGGAAGAUGAGUUCAAAUCUCAGCUCUGGUGAAAACUCUUGACGAAGCUAUUUAACCUCAGUUUUCUCAUCUAUAAAAUGGGCUAGGGACUUCCCCCGUGGCUCAGUGGUUAAGGAUCUGUCUGCCAAUGCAGGGGACGUGGGUUUGAGCCCUGGUCUGGGAAGAUCCCACAUGCCACGGAGCAACUAAGGCCAUGUGCCACAUCUACUAAAGCCCACGCGCCUAGAGCCUGUGCUCUGCAACAAGAGAAGCCACCGCAAUGAGAAGGCCACGCACCGCAACGAAGAGUAGCCCCCGCUCGCCGCAACUGGAGAAAGCCCGCACACAGCAACAAAGACACAACGCAGCCAAAAAUCAAUAAAUCAAUAAAUAAACUUAAAAAUAAAAUAAAAUAAAAUGGGCUAAUA